rnacentral:rRNA from 1 species
GAUGAACGCUGGCGGUGUGGAUAAGGCAUGCAAGUCGAACGCCCAUCUUCGGAUGGGAGUGGCGAACGGGUUAGUAACACGUAGAUAACGAACCCCAAAGACAGGUAUAAUCCCGCGAAAGUGGGGCUAAUUCCUGAUAGUUCCUUUAUUACAAAAGUAGUGAAGGAUAAAGAAAGCUUUGCAAUCGCUUUGGGAUCGAUCUGCGGCCUAUCAGCUUGUUGGUAAGGUAAUGGCUUACCAAGGCUAUGACGGGUAGGGGGCAUGAGAGUGUGUUCCCCAACACUAGCACUGCGACACGGGCUAGACUCCUACGGGAGGCAGCAGUCGAGAAUAUUGGGCAAUGGGCGAAAGCCUGACCCAGCGACACCGCGUGCUCGAAGAAGCCCUUCGGGGUGUAAAGAGCUUUUAUGGAGGAAGAAUCUCGCUUUUAGCGGGAUGACGGUACUCCAGGAAUAAGAGGAUGCUAAUCACGUGCCAGCAGCCGCGGUAAAACGUGAUCCUCGAGCGUUAUCCGGACUUAUUGGGCGUAAAGCGUCUGUAGGCGGCAUAGUAAGUUUGGUGUUAAAGCCCUCGGGCUCAACCUGAGGAAUGCAUCAAAAACUGCUAAGCUAGAGGGCAUUAGGGGCUGAUGGAAUGGUCGGUGUAGGGGGUGAAAUCCGUUGAUAUCGACCGGAACACCGAAAGCGAAGGCAUUCAGCUGGGGUGACCCUGACGCUGAGAGACGAAAGCGUGGGUAGCAAAAGGAUUAGAUACCCUUGUAGUCCACGCCGUAAACGAUGGAUACUAGCUAUUUGAAGUGUCGACCCUUCAAGUGGCGAAGCUAACGCGUUAAGUAUCCCGCCUGGGAAGUACGGUCGCAAGACUAAAACUCAAAGGAAUAGACGGGGUCUCACACAAGCGGUGGAUCAUGUGGCUUAAUUCGACAGUAAGCGAGGAACCUUACCAGGGCUUGACAUGUCAAUGAACCUUCGGAGAAAUUCGGAGAUUCCACAAGGACAUUGAUACAGGUGUUGCAUGGUUGUCGUCAGCUCGUAUCUUGAGACGUAUGCUUAAGUGCAGUAACGAGCGCAACCCUUGCUCUAUGUUUUAUUUGUCAUAGAGAACUGCCUGGGAUAACCAGGAGGAAGGUAAGGAUGACGCCAAAUCAGCAUGACCCUUUGAUGCUCUGGGCGGCACACGUGAUACAAUGGCCGCUACAAUGGGUUGCCAACCCGUAAGGGGGAGCUAAUCCCAUCAAAAGCGGUCUAAGUUCGGAUUGAGGUCUGAAACUCGACCUCAUGAAGUUGGAAUCGCUAGUAAUCGCCAAUCAGCCACGUGGCGAUGAAUACGUUCCUGAGACUUGUACUCACCGCCCGUCAACUCAAGCGAGCUGGGAACACCCGAAAUCCCAUGUUAUGUGGGCCUAAGGUGGAUUCAGUAA